rnacentral:pre_miRNA from 1 species
AAACUGCCCCCUAAGUUUUGCAAUUGUAGCAGUUUUGGCCCCCAAGGCCAAUUUUUGGUAAAAAAAUAAUAAUAAAUAAAACACGUGGCACCUCACUUAGGGUGCCACGUCAGCAUAGACCGAGUCAAAAUUGGCCUUGGGGGCCAAAACUGCCACAGAUGUAAAACUUAAGGGGCGGUUU